rnacentral:tRNA from 1 species
AGUUAGCGUAGCAAAACCCGGCAUUGCUGUAGAUCUAAGCCCUUUUAAUAGAGGUUCAAAUCCUCUCACUAACU